rnacentral:miRNA from 1 species
UGUCUGUAUACACACACACACCCAUAUAUAUAUAUACAUAUGUGUGUAUGUAUGUGUGUAUAUAA